rnacentral:rRNA from 1 species
AACUUUCAGCAACGGAUCUCUUGGCUCUGGCAUCGAUGAAGAACGCAGCGAAAUGCGAUACGUAAUGUGAAUUGCAGAAUUCAGCGAAUCAUCGAAUCUUUGAACGCAUCAGGCGCCUGCCGGUAUUCCGGCGGGCAUGCCUGUCCGAGCGUCAUUCUU